GCAAACUUGGUCAUUUAGAGGAAGUAAAAGUCGUAACAAGGUCUCCGUAGGUGAACCUGCGGAGGGAUCAUUAACGAAUGGCCUAUGGCCUUUCAACCCUUCAAACCUUGUGGAAACAAAAAGAUGUGCUUGGGCGCCCCCGUGGCGCCCACAUUCAUGCUUUAACCAGUGUUUGACGUCCGACUUUAAAAGCAAAAAUAAAAACUUUCAACAAAGGAUCUCUUGGCUCUUGCAUCGAUGAAGAACGCAGC
rnacentral:misc_RNA from 1 species